AAACAGACUCUUGCUCUGUCACUCUGAUUGGACUGCAGUGGCACCAUCACUACUCACUGCAGCCUGAACCAUUCUGGGCUCAAGCAAUCCUCCCACCUCAGCCUCCCAAGUAGUUGGGACCACAGGCAUGUGCCACCAUACCCAGCUAACUUUUGUUUAUUUUUUAUAGGGAUGGGAUCUCAUUUUGUUGUCCAGGCUGGAACUUCUGGGGUCAAGCCAUCCACCCGCCUCAGCCUCCCAAAGUGCUGGGAUUACAGGCAUGAGCCACUGCACCCAGCCUGUUUCUCUUUUACACUGAAAAAUUUGGUUCUUAGUAACCUAAUGUAGUUACUUACUUCUUUUAUCCUACUACAUAUAUAAUAGAACCAAAAUAGUAACGUCAAUGUGGUUAUUAAGAUGAAGUCUACUGAAUGCAGUUUGCUUUUGUUUUUUUCCCUGAAUGCAGUUUAAGCUGUAUUUUUAUCCUUAGGCCAAAUAUGGUCAAUGUAGUGUGGAAAGUUAGAUCUGUAUGUUUUUAAUUUUAAAGAAAUUACAUAUUUUUUAAUUUAAUUUUUAUUUUUUUAAACUGCACAUUUACCUUUUCUCUGAGAUGAGGGGGCACAUUUAAAUCUGUGUAUGUCCAGAGUCCGUGAGGAUUGGGAAUCAGUCUAAAGCUGUGCUCGCUUCUCCUCUUCCAUUGCGAUUUGCCUUCUUUAUCCAGUCUUUUGGAAUGCUGAACAAAAAUGUUUUUGGCACAAGGCAGGCGUGAAAACAUAAAGUUAAUAAAAAUCGAAUGCAUAAGCUAGAGCAGAUUAUCCACAGAUUCUUCCAUCUCCAUAUAGAUUAUCACCAUUGCCUGCACCUGUUUUCCUUCUCCAGCCUAUCUGAUGGAAUGGUGCUUCCAUGACAUGUGGUAUUUGGAAGGCUCUUAGCUCUGAUGUAAUCAGGGUUUGACCCAUAGUCACCUGAAAUAGUUCUUCUGUUUCUCUUUGUUCUAUGAACUGAAGGGUCUCAGAAGCCCGUGUUAUGCAAAUACCCUUCCAUCCCCUUCCCUCUCCCCUUGCCUCUAUCCAUGUUCCCUCAGCCUCAGGGUGCUUGCAGGCUAAGAGGAUUGGGUCUCUGGCAUCCUGGAGCUGAACAGCUCGUGUCAGGAAUUCCCCAGGCCCUUGAGUCUCUGGGGUGAGUUGUAGGGGUGUGUAGGGUGCUGGGGAUUAAGAUCUGCUGAGUAGGUGCUUACCAGAGUUAUACUGAAGGACCUGAAGACAGAUCAUCUUCACAUAAUCAGCAUGACCCAUAAUCUGUGAUGUCACUGAGCUUCUUUUAUUUCUGUAGUCAAGGAAUGUGCACAAGUAAUGCAAAUAUAAUUACUUUUAGUCCUGAGGAUUAGGGAACUUGGGGGAUGUUCACAUUACCUGAUGAUGUCAAUAUUGUGUUAUGUUUAAUUUUUUUUAAAAAAGAUGCUUAUUUAUUACUGAAAUAAUCUAAACUGAAUAAAUAACUUUUUAAAAAAUUA
rnacentral:lncRNA from 1 species